GAGUUUGAUCCUGGCUCAGAUUGAACGCUGGCGGCAUGCCUUACACAUGCAAGUCGAACGGCAGCACGGGAGCUUGCUCCUGGUGGCGAGUGGCGAACGGGUGAGUAAUGCAUCGGAACGUAUCCUGGAGUGGGGGAUAACGUAGCGAAAGUUACGCUAAUACCGCAUAUUCUGUGAGCAGGAAAGCGGGGGACCUUCGGGCCUCGCGCUCUUGGAGCGGCCGAUGUCGGAUUAGCUAGUUGGUGAGGUAAAGGCUCACCAAGGCGACGAUCUGUAGCAGGUCUGAGAGGAUGAUCUGCCACACUGGAACUGAGACACGGUCCAGACUCCUACGGGA
rnacentral:rRNA from 1 species